rnacentral:rRNA from 1 species
GAUGAACGCUGGCGGCGUGCCUAAUACAUGCAAGUCGAGCGAACGGACGAGAAGCUUGCUUCUCUGAUGUUAGCGGCGGACGGGUGAGUAACACGUGGAUAACCUACCUAUAAGACUGGGAUAACUUCGGGAAACCGGAGCUAAUACCGGAUAAUAUUUUGAACCGCAUGGUUCAAAAGUGAAAGACGGUCUUGCUGUCACUUAUAGAUGGAUCCGCGCUGCAUUAGCUAGUUGGUAAGGUAACGGCUUACCAAGGCAACGAUGCAUAGCCGACCUGAGAGGGUGAUAGGCCACACUGGAACUGAGACACGGUCCAGACUCCUACGGGAGGCAGCAGUCGGGAAUCUUCCGCAAUGGGCGAAAGCCUGACGGAGCAACGCCGCGUGAGUGAUGAAGGUCUUCGGAUCGUAAAACUCUGUUAUUAGGGAAGAACAUAUGUGUAAGUAACUGUGCACAUCUUGACGGUACCUAAUCAGAAAGCCACGGCUAACUACGUG